GCACGUAUGGCCGAAUGGAUAAGGCACCGGACUUGGAAUCAACAGCUUUGGAGAGAGGUAGGUUCGAAUCCUGGGAUGUGCG
rnacentral:tRNA from 1 species